ACUCAUUUUCAUUUAGUAUAAAAUAAUUACCUUAAAUUUUUUAAUAGUUUUAUAUCAGCUAUUAUGUACUCUUUAAUCAAUUUCUAAACUAAUGAUGUGGGAUAGGGAUUUCACACCAUCCAUACAGCCUCUUGCCCCUUUUGGGAAAGGGAAACCUUCUUCCCUUACCCAUAAAGUUGGUUUCUUCCUCUUCGCCUUCUAGCGACGUUGUAGAUAAAUAAUGUUGAUUUUAUUAACAGAUCUAUGCUUAUAGAAGGGAAUUUUAUUAAACUAUUGUUUUCCUUGUGUUUAAGUUGUUGUAUGUGUUUUUUCUUUUGCAGGUGAAGCUUUGUGGAGAAAGAUCUUUAAAAUCCUGCAAUUUAGUGGUGUUGUCUAAUCUUCCCCUAUCUUUGUUCUUUAGUACGCCUUCGAUUUGUCUUGAUAACUUAUGAGAGUGGAAAAUCAAUUCCUGCAUGUCAUCUUUAGAGUUUAUCUCUAACACUUAGUGGCCUCUUGACUCUUAAAGCUUCAUUUACUGAUGACAACACUAUCGCGGGUGUGGGAAUCUUUCUUCUUAUCGUCUUAGCUUUGGUGUUUUUUAUCGGAUUCUUCCUCCUUAGCUUUGCUUGCUCAGACAACGGCUUAUAAGAGAUGCGGGCCAUUAUCCUCAAGUUGGAUGAUCCAUUUCCAGGACUUCUUGUUUGUAAUGGGUCUUGGGCCUCCUCGUUACGUUUAUGUAUUUGGUUGCAUCUAUAUCUUCUGGCAAUCUUGUAAGGCCAAACUCAGUAUAUUUAACAUCCACUAAUGAAUUUAUUUUCUUA